GGACCACUCCACAGAAGUUUCACUACACUUCACUGAACACUUUUUGAGCCCAAAUCCUUAUGGAGAUAGAAUGGCAAGAAGACCUCCCCUGGCCAAAGAGGAUGGUUGCUCCAAUAUAGAUGAGAAACUUGAGGAAGUACUACAGAUACCACAGAGACUACGAGCAUGAUAUAGAAGAAUGCUGGCAGCUUAGGGAGGAGAUAGAAGUGCUCAUUUGACGUGGAUGCCUUCAUUGGUAUGUUGAUGAAUGAUGGAUCCUAAAAAACCCACAUGAUGAGCC
rnacentral:lncRNA from 1 species